rnacentral:rRNA from 1 species
UACGUAGGGGGCGAGCGUUGUCCGGAUUUAUUGGGCGUAAAGAGCUCGUAGGCGGUUUGGUAAGUUGGAUGUGAAAUCUCCAGGCUCAACUUGGAGGGGUCAUUCGAUACUGCCAUGACUAGAGUUCGGUAGGGGAGUGUGGAAUUCCUGGUGGAGCGGUGAAAUGCGCAGAUAUCGAGAGGAACACCUGCGGCGAAGGCGGGUUGCUGGGCUGACACUGACGCUGAUGCGCGAAAGCCAGGGGAGCGAACGGG